rnacentral:rRNA from 1 species
AUUGAACGCUGGCGGCAGGCCUAACACAUGCAAGUCGAGCGGAGGGGCGGACGGGUGAGUAAUGCCUAGGAAUCUGCCUGGGAGUGGGGGAUAACGUCCGGAAAGGGGCGCUAAUACAGCAUACUAUCAGAGGAGCCUAGGUCGGAUUAGCUAGUUGGUGGGGUAAAGGCCUACCAGGGCGUCGAUCCGUAACUGGUCUGAGAGGAUGAUCAGUCACGCUGGAACUGAGACACUGUCCAGACUCCUACGUGAGCCAGCAGUUGGUCAUAUUGGACAAUCGGCGAAAACCUGAUCCACCCGUGCCGCGUGUGUGAAGAAGGUCUUCCGUUUUACAAGCCCUUUUACUUGGUAGGCGUUACCAACAGAAUAAGCACCGGCUCACUUCGUGCCAGCAGCCGCGGUAGUAC